AGAGUUGAUCAUGGCGUCAGAACGAACGCUGGCGGCGAUGGAUAGGCAUGCAAGUCGAACGAAGCAGCAAUGCUUAGUGGCGGAAGGGUGAGGAACGCGUGAGUAAUCUGCCCUCAAGUUGGGAAUAACAGCUGGAAACGGCUGCUAAUACCGAAUGUGGCUGCGAGACCGCAUGAUCUUGCAGUUAAAGAUUUAUUGCUUGAGGAUGAGCUCGCGUCCCAUUAGCUAGUUGGCGGGGCAACGGCCCACCAAGGCGAUGAUGGGUAGCUGGUCUGAGAGGAUGGUCAGCCACACUGGGACUGAGACACUGCCCAGACCCCUACGGGAGGCUGCAGUCGAGAAUCUUGGGCAAUGCGCGAAAGCGUGACCCAAGCAAUGCCGCGUGCGCGAUGAAGGUCUUCGGAUUGUAAAGCGCUGUCAACCGGGACGAAAGAUGACGGUACCGGUGAAGGAAGCCACGGCUAACUACGUGCCAGCCGCCGC
rnacentral:rRNA from 1 species